CCAAAACAACUGCAAAACCUAUAACUUGUAAGCUCAACUUCUUUUAGAGGGUUUUUACAUAUAUAUAUAUAUAUAUAUAUAUUUUUAUAUAUGUAUAAAUCUUUUAAAGGAUUAACAAGUAGAAGGCAAAGGAAUAAGAAAGAGAACAAUAAAGGCAGGAAGUACAAGACAUUACAAAUUCUUUGGAAUUUACCUGUCAUUGGUAGCCUAAAAUACAUUUAGAUCACCUGUGCCCUUUACUGGUCACAGUUAAUAAGAAUUUGAUUCAUCAAAGUUGAAAUUAGAUUUCCAGAGUUGACAUGAUAAGAAGAAGAGUCCCUACCUGAUGUGAGAAUGCAUAAGCCAACGACCUUUCUCUUCGUAUAGCAGCUUCUUGCCUGCUCUGUAGUUUCGCUUCUACUUGCUCCUUAGAUUGUGUGCUAUCAUCC